UACGUAGGGGGCAAGCGUUGUCCGGAAUCAUUGGGCGUAAAGCGCGCGUAGGCGGCCCGGUAAGUCCGUUGUGAAAGUCAAAGGCUCAACCUUUGAACGCCGAUGGAUACUGCCGGGCUAGAGUCCGGAAGAGGCGAGUGGAAUUCCUGGUGUAGCGGUGGAAUGCGCAGAUAUCAGGAGGAACACCGAUGGCGAAGGCAGGUCUCUGGGCUGACACUGACGCUCAUGCACGAAAGCGUGGGGAGCAAACAGG
rnacentral:rRNA from 1 species